UACGUAGGGGGCAAGCGUUGUUCGGAUUCACUGGGCGUAAAGGGUGCGUAGGCGGUCGGAUAAGUCUGAUGUGAAAUCUUCGAGCUCAACUCGGAAACUGCAUCGGAAACUAUUCGGCUAGAGGAUUGGAGGGGAGACUGGAAUUCUCGGUGUAGCAGUGAAAUGCGUAGAUAUCGAGAGGAACACCAGUGGCGAAGGCGAGUCUCUGGACAAUUCCUGACGCUGAGGCACGAAAGCUAGGGGAGCAAACAGG
rnacentral:rRNA from 1 species